rnacentral:rRNA from 1 species
GAUGAACGCUAGCGGCAGGCCUAACACAUGCAAGUCGAGGGGCAGCACAGGUAGCAAUACUGGGUGGCGACCGGCGGAUGGGUGCGUAACGCGUAUGCAACCUACCAUUGAUUGGGGCAUAGCCCGAAGAAAUUCGGAUUAAUACUCCAUAAUAUUCAUCAAAGGCAUCUUUUAUGAAUUAAAGCUUUUGCGAUCAAUGAUGGGCAUGCGUGACAUUAGUUAGUUGGUGAGGUAACGGCUCACCAAAACGAUGAUGUCUAGGGGUUCUGAGAGGAUUAUCCCCCACACUGGUACUGAGACACGGACCAGACUCCUACGGGAGGCAGCAGUGAGGAAUAUUGGUCAAUGGACGCAAGUCUGAACCAGCCAUGCCGCGUGCAGGAUGACGGCCCUAUGGGUUGUAAACUGCUUUUCCACGGGAAGAACCCUCCGACGUGUCGGAGACUGACGGUACCGUGGAAUAAGCAUCGGCUAACUCCGUG